rnacentral:rRNA from 1 species
UCUUUUCAUUGUGUGCCAGCAGCCGCGGUAAUACGGAGGAUGCGAGCGUUAUCCGGAUUUAUUGGGUUUAAAGGGAGCGCAGACGGGUCGUUAAGUCAGCUGUGAAAGUUUGGGGCUCAACCUUAAAAUUGCAGUUGAUACUGGCGUCCUUGAGUGCGGUUGAGGUGUGCGGAAUUCGUGGUGUAGCGGUGAAAUGCUUAGAUAUCACGAAGAACUCCGAUUGCGAAGGCAGCACACUAAGCCGUAACUGACGUUCAUGCUCGAAAGUGUGGGUAUCAAACAGG